UCUUAUUCAGAGUGGUGGAGGGACUGGCCCGAAGAAACCACAGCAACCGGUCCCGCUUAAGGCGGGAUGCUGGUGCUAAUUCCAGCAAGGUAGUGAUACCUUGGAAGAUAAGA
rnacentral:ncRNA from 1 species